CAUGCCAUCGCCGCCCCAUCUCCUCUCGCACUUCCCGUCGCCGGGCUCGAGCUGUAGAGACGCGCCAGUGCUCGACCCGAGCAGCGCGGUCCCUUGCUCGUGCCAGAGGUGCCCCUUCUCCUUGGUCCUCGUCCGUUGAUCUGCUUUCCGAGCACAGGUUGCCACUACCACUCGGCGCCGCGGCUGCGCCGUAGCUCGGGCCGCAAGCACACCGCACCAUGGUGCUCCACCUCUGCUGCACUCGUCGAUCCGUAGAUUGGUCCACGAUUCAUGACCUUCUGGUCAAUCCCCUGGUCGGUGACUCCUUCGAUCUGUGCAUGCACAUCAUCUACUAGCAGCUUCGUCCAUCUUCGUUCAUGGAUCUGCGGAUCAACCCCUCUUCUCCUCCUUUCCCCUCCUCUUCUUUCUAGACCUAGUUGUAGGAUUGUAUGGCAGUAUGCAUUUUUUGCCUCGCUCUGUUCUGCUUGUAGAUCAUGUCCUUUCUGUUAAAGGCCAAAAGUAUUUUUGUCUUUUUGCACUGGAUGUCUGUCGUUUCCUUCCUUCACUGCUUGUUUUUAGUGGAGCCUAGAUAUAUGCUUGUUGUUCCUUGUCUGGAUCUUUGUAGGGCCUAUGAUUGUUGGUCCUUUCACCUUUGUGCAUGGAAUGUUGGUUAUUUUAUCCC